rnacentral:tRNA from 1 species
GGCCUGUGGCUCAGUGGGUAGGGCACCAGCCCCAUAUACUGAGGGUUGUGGGUUCAAACCCGGCCCAGGCCA